rnacentral:rRNA from 1 species
GACGUAGGGUGCAAGCGUUGUCCGGAUUUACUGGGCGUAAAGAGCGCGUAGGCGGUCUGUUAAGUGAGAAGUGAAAUCUCCAGGGCUCAACCCGGAAACUGCUUUUCAUACUGGCAGACUGGAGGGAUGCAGAGGUGAGUGGAAUUCCUGGUGUACCGGUGAAAUGGGUAGAUAUCAGGAGGAACACCCGUGGCGAAGGCGGCUCACUGGGCAUCUCCUGACGCUGAGGCGCGAAAGUGUGGGUAGCAAACAGG